GAGUUUGAUCGUGGCUCAGAACGAACGCUGGCGGCAUACCUAACACAUGCAAGUCGAACGAGACCUUCGGGUCUAGUGGCGCACGGGUGCGUAACGCGUGGGAAUCUGCCCUCUGGUACGGAAUAACUCAGGGAAGCUUGAGCUAAUACCGUAUAAUGACUUCGGUCCAAAGAUUUAUCGCCUGAGGAUGAGCCCGCGUCGGAUUAGCUUGUUGGUGAGGUAAAAGCUCACCAAGGCGACGAUCCGUAGCUGGUCUGAGAGGAUGAUCAGCCACACUGGGACUGAGACACGGCCCAGACUCCUACGGGAGGCAGCAGUGGGGAAUAUUGGACAAUGGGCGAAAGCCUGAUCCAGCAAUGCCGCGUGAGUGAUGAAGGCCUUAGGGUUGUAAAGCUCUUUUACCCGGGAUGAUAAUGACAGUACCGGGAGAAUAAGCCCCGGCUAACUCCGUGCCAGCAGCCGCCGUAAU
rnacentral:rRNA from 1 species